rnacentral:rRNA from 1 species
GUAUGGUGCCAGCAGCCGCGGUAAUACCAUCAUUACAAGCGUAUAUUAAAAUUGUUGCAUUUAAAAAGCUCGUAGUUGAAUAAUAGAUAGAAGAAAUGUGCGGGGCAACUGCCAAGCUGAUCUUUCUAUCUUUUGUUCUAUAGGCAAUAUAGAACCAUUUACUGUGAAAAAAAUUAGAGUGUUUAAAGCAAAUUGUAUGAUAUUGAAUAUUAUUAGCAUGGAAUAAUAAUAUAUGAUUAUGAUUAUAUAUUAUGGUAGUAUAAUCGUAAUAAUGAUUAAUAGGGAUAGUUGGGGGUAUUCAUAUUUCAUAGUCAGAGGUGAAAUUCAAGGAUUUAUGAAAGAUGAACAAAUGCGAAAGCAUUUACCAAGGAUGUUUUCAUUAAUCAAGAACGAAAGUUAGGGGAUCAAAGAGGCUUAGAUACCCUCGUAGUCUUAACUAUAAACUAUAACGACUAGAUAUUAGUAUAAAAAAAUCUUACAUAAGAUAAAUAUUAGUAUCUAAAAGCGAAAGCAAAGUGUAUGGUUUAUGGGGGGAGUACGGUCGCAAGUCUGAAACUUAAAGGAAUUGACGGAAGGGCACACCAGAUAUGGGUUUAUGCGGCCUUAAUUUGACUCAACACGGAGGGAAAACUUACCAGGUCCGAGACACAGUAAGGAUUGACAGAUUGAAUCUCUAUCUUGAUUUUGUGGGUGGUGGAUGCAUGGCCGUUCUUAGUUGGUGGAGUGAUUUGUCUGGUUAAUUCCGGUUAACGAACGAGACCUUAACUAAUUAAAUAGUUAGAUGUAUUUCGAUACAUACUAACUUCUUAAAAGGACUCUAGGACUUUUUUCAACUCUAGGGAAGUAUAAGGCAAUAACAGGUCUGUGAUGCCCUUAGAUGUUCUGGGCCGCACGCGUGACACAAUGAUAUAUAAUACAAUGAGCUUAAAAUUGCUGGACUGAGAGGUCUGGCUAAUCUAUGUAAAAUAUAUCAUAUUAGGGAUAGAUGCUUGCAAUUAUUCAUCUUGAACGAGGAACACCUAGUAAGGGUAAGUCAUCAGCUUACCUUGAAUACGUCCCUGCCCUUUGUACACACCGCCCGUCGCACCUACCGAUUGAAUGAUGAGGUGAAAAAGAUAGAGAGUAGGGAUCUCGGUCUCUUAUUCACAAGUCUUUUAAAUCUUAUUAUUUAGAGGAAGGUGAAGUCGUAACAAGGUUUCCGGUAGGUGAACCUGCGGAAG